AUGCUAGUCCUUGCCGCGCGGUUUCCAACACAAGGAUGGAUCAGCGUGGAUGAGGUGUUGACACUGAGCUGCAAACAAAGGAAAGAGUGGCCGUUAGCUGAGUACACUCUGGGGAGGGGAAUCCGCUCCCUCCAGAGGCAGCGCGGGACGGCUCUGUCAGUAAGACCUUCAUUUUGGACCAGAGUCUGUCUCUCUGAAGCUUCUGACCUUUGGUCUUGUAUUUACUUCUGGGGACCUUGUAGAACAAGCCAACUCCUUCUUGUGACAGCAGCGGUGUCCUUCAAGUUUCCUCUCCUGCAGGCAAGUUAUUUAACCUCUCUAAGUCUCAGAUUUUUUUUCAUCUGUAAUUGGGGCUAAUUAAUAGCACCUCCCUCGUAGAGUUAGUGUGAAGAUCACAUGAAAGAAUCUGUAUGAAGAGCUUGGUUUCAUGCCUGGAACAUACUAAGUCAGCCAAGUGCUCAAUAAAUGUUAACAACGAUCACGGUUAUCGUUACA
rnacentral:lncRNA from 1 species